UUAAUAUGUUAAAAAAACAGUUCAUCAAUUUUUUCAUGGUACCAGUCGAUAAACUUGUUAAUGGAUUUUUUGUCUAUUUCUAAUCUAAUAUCCUAUGUAAUCGUACGUAAACAUAACGUUAGAUGGAAAAAUUUAUUUGUUUGUCUAUGGUACAGUGACGAGACGAACGCAAGGUGACGUAACGCGCAUGCGCACCACGAUAUAUAUACGGUCUUGCCGGUAACGUGCCGCCAUUUUGAGUUCGGUGACUAGCUACUUGGACACGGGACCGGUAUCGUCCUCAUUUAUUACAGAUUUCCAAGAAUUCAACUAAGGAUCGGAGAAGGACAGGAGAGAAUAAGAUGGAGAGAAGGUAUCAUCCGCACUUUGUAAGCCAUUGUAGGAUACUAACGUCGUAUAAAUAAGGAAAUUCGUUUUCACGAGAGAAUGUAAACAGAAUACAGUCGGGCAUUUGGCUUUACAGUUGAGAGACUGGGGGGUUAAACCUCCUCAGAGUAAUACGAUAUCUGGAGGCGACAUAGCCACGAAUUUUCACGAAUAACAUAUAUAUAUAUAUAUAUAUAUAUAUAUAGGGUGUCCAAAAAGGCAUAGGAUGAAACUUAUAUUACGUAUUAACAAGAUCAAAUAAAUGAAAAAUAUUUAUAUAUAAAAUUAUGUCUGAAAAUGUUUUAUCGAAAUGUUAUACGGUUUUAAAGAUAUUUCUGAUUUAUUGCCAACAGUUAUAAGAAAUAUAAAAAAUUUAUAAAAAAAUUUUUUAUAAAAAAUUUCUCUUUCUUACAAGUAUACAGGUAUUAUUCAUUCAUGGAAUUAAUAAUUGCUUGUAAUCAAAUCUUAUAUUCUUCUUUCUAUCGUAUAUUUAUAAAGCAAUAUUUUUUCAUAUGUAUCCCAAAAAUCGAAUUUUAAGUCAGAUGAUCUAAGAGGCCGUUUGUUAGGGUCAAUCAUUAAUUCGACGAGUGGAAAUAAAACGUACAUAUUUUUGAAAGUAUAUAACUUUUAUAUAAAUUUUUUCAAUCCAUUUAAUUUCAGUAAUACGUAGUAUAAAGUUUGCUUCCAUGCUUUUUGGACACUCUGUAUAUAUGUUAAUGUAUAUAUAUAUAUAUAUAUAUAUAUAUAUAUAUACAUGAGUUAGUGAUA